rnacentral:rRNA from 1 species
AUUGAACGCUGGCGGCAUGCUUUACACAUGCAAGUCGAACGGCAGCGCGGGCUUCGGCCUGGCGGCGAGUGGCGCACGGGUGAGUAAUGCAUCGGAACGUGCCCAGUAGUGGGGGAUAGCCCGGCGAAAGCCGGAUUAAUACCGCAUACGACCUGCGGGUGCAAGCGGGGGACCGAAAGGCCUCGCGCUAUUGGAGCGGCCGAUGUCGGAUUGGCUAGUUGGUGGGGUAAAGGCUUACCAAGGAGGCGAUCCGUAGCUGGUCUGAGAGGACGACCGGCCACAUGGGGAGGGAGACACGGCCAAUGGGCCUGCGGGAGGCAGCAGUGGGGAAUUGGGGACAAUGGGGGCGACUCUUGUCCAGUCGUGCGGAGCGCGGGAAGGCGGCGCUGGGGUUGUAAACCGGUUCUGUGCGGGAAGAAAUCCUCUGGGCUAAGACCCCGGGUGGAUGACGGUACCGGAAAAAUAAGCACCGGCUAACUACGUG